rnacentral:rRNA from 1 species
UACGGAGGGUGCAAACGUUGCUCGGAAUCAUUGGGCGUAAAGCGCACGUAGGUGGCCUGUUAAGUCGGGUGUGAAAUCCCUGGGCUCAACCCAGGAAGUGCACUCGAAACUGGACAGGCUUGAGUACUGAAGAGGGUCGCGGAAUUCCCGGUGUAGAGGUGAAAUUCGUAGAUAUCGGGAGGAACACCAGUGGCGAAGGCGGCGACCUGGGCAGAUACUGACACUGAGGUGCGAAAGCGUGGG